AAUAGGAAAAAAUAUUGAGGUCAUUGAUAAUCCAGAAUAAAGAAACCUGAAUCAUUCCCUUUGGUACUGAUCUCUGUGUAUGUCGAGUAGAACAGUAAUUCCAGGAAAUUAGGUGAUACAGUGCAGUGGAUGUUAGGGUUAGGUAGUAAUGCAUGCAUCUAGGGUGCAGCUGAUUGCGAAACCAUUUGAUGGACAGUAAGUUUGAUACACCGAGAACAAGUCAAGGAAUUCAAGGCCGGCCAGUUUUGAUUCGCUCUACUUAUGAUGUUGGUCGUAUUCUGUCUGGAUAGGAUCUGGACUCUGGAUUAUGGCUAGCGCUGAAACUUCACUCUUCAGGUACCAGUAGUUCUAUGGCGUCCAGGCUUGGCCUCCGAUAAAUAUUGUGCCGGUGACAGGUGCUACCUCCGUAGUCGACUUUUUAUUGACGGUCUCGAUUCGAUUUUGUGGCCAUUUUGAUUAAUAAUCGAGCAACCGACCCCAUACGUUUCUUGUAAUCCGGUUGGAUCUAUCUGAAGAAUACACCUGCUGUAAUCUGUCUUUCUCAGUGUUUAAGUCUGAUUAUCCACAAAACAGAAUAUUGACAUGACACCUGAGAACCAGAAUAAUGAGACCAGAAGAAAUGGCUUUUGAAAGGGAACGGCCCGAUAGACAACACGUGAUAGCUGAUUUCCGCAGCAACGAACAGGAACGCAGCAAUAAGGGAACUGUUGGAAACGGUGUUUUCUACCUUGUCCGUGCCGAGGCUUUAUAAGAGGAUCCCACGUCGGUUGCGCUACCGAAGCAGGAGGUUCCCAAAAAAAUCAAU